AAACAUGUCUACAUGGGUAUAAUAUUAAAUGUAGUCCAGCCUGCCCACUGAAUAUAAAUUUUAAAGGGCCGCGGUACACUGACCGUGCUAAGGUAGCAUAAUCAAUAGUCUUUUAAUUGGAGACUGGAAUGAACGGCUAGAUAAAAAGUUUACUGUCUAUAUAAUAAAUCUUGAAUUUUACUUUUAAGUGAAAAGGCUUAAAUAUAUUAAAGUGACGAUAAGACCCUAUAAAACUUUAUAAUAAAUUAUGAUUAUCUUAAAUUUAAAAUCAAAAUAUAUUUCAUAUAUUACUAUUUAGUUGGGGCGACUGAGAUAUAAAAAAUCUGUCUUUAGUAAAAAAUACUUAUAAUUAGAUCAAGAUCCUUUAUUAAGGAUUAAAAGGCUAAGUUACUUUAGGGAUAACAGCGUGAUUUUUCUUAAGAGUUCUUAUCGACAGAAUAAGUUGCGACC
rnacentral:rRNA from 1 species